rnacentral:rRNA from 1 species
UGGGGAAUAUUGCACAAUGGGCGUAAGCCUGAUGCAGCAACGCCGCGUGAGGGACGACGGCCUUCGGGUUGUAAACCUCUUUUAGUAGGGAAGAAGCGAAAGUGACGGUACCUGCAGAAAAAGCACCGGCUAACUACGUGCCAGCAGCCGCGGUAAUACGUAGGGUGCGAGCGUUGUCCGGAAUUAUUGGGCGUAAAGAGCUCGUAGGCGGUCUGUCGCGUCUGCUGUGGAAAAUCCCCGAGGCUCAACCUCGGGCCUGCAGUGGGUACGGGCAGACUAGAGUGCGGUAGGGGAGAAUGGAAUUCCUGGUGUAGCGGUGGAAUGCGCAGAUAUCAGGAGGAACACCGAUGGCGAAGGCAGUUCUCUGGGCCGUAACUGACGCUGAGGAGCGAAAGCGUGGGGAGCGAACAGGAUUAGAUACCCUGGUAGUCCACGCCGUAAACGUUGGGCGCUAGAUGUGGGGACCAUUCCACGGUUUCCGUGUCGCAGCUAACGCAUUAAGCGCCCCG